GGGGGGGGGGGGAACAUACCCGGAAUGUCAAUGGAUUUAAUGUAUGUCUAGGCAUGAGUUAAAGAAACGAGAAUUGUGUGGGUGAAAUCACAAAUAGCUUUAUUUGAUGCGAUGAGUUCUUGAGAGGAGUAUAACGCAAACGUAUACCAAGACAAAGACAAGCUAGAGCCACAUACUAAGAUAAUCAAUUAGUCAGUUAUAGAGUUCAUAUAAAUUCAGAUGUCAACUUACACAAUUAGAUAUAAUGGAUGGGCAUGUAAAUAUAAUCAGACGCUAACAUACACAAUUAAUAACAUAUUUGCUAAAUAUAAAUUCAGAUACUAACAUUCUAAACUUGUGGCCGACUCAUUAAAUAUUCAUUUAGAUGCUAAUACACACAAUUAUGAAAACUGACUUAUGAUGUCAAAAGUAAUCAAACUAAAGCUU